GCUUGCUACGGAGGACAAUACUAAAAUUGUAUCGAUACAGAGGAAGAUAGCCAUGGACCUAGCGAAAGGAUGACACGCAAAUACGUGUGAAGACGUCCAUCUUUUU